GAUGAAGAACGUAGCGAAAUGCGAUAAGUAAUGUGAAUUGCAGAAUUCAGUGAAUCAUCGAAUCUUUGAACGCACAUUGCGCCCCCUGGUAUUCCGGGGGGCAUGCCUGUUCGAGCGUCAUUUCACAACUCAAGCCUCGCUUGGUAUUGGGCAACGCGGUCCGCCGCGUGCCUCAAAUCGACCGGCUGGGUCUUCUGUCCCCUAAGCGUUGUGGAAACUAUUCGCUAAAGGGUGUUCGGGAGGCUACGCCGUAAAACAACCCCAUUUCUAAGGUUGACCUCGGAUCAGGUAGGGAUACCCGCUGAACUUAAGCAUAUCAAUAAGCGGAGGA
rnacentral:misc_RNA from 1 species